rnacentral:sRNA from 1 species
AUUAGAUAGAUAGAUAGAUAUUAGAUCUAUCAUUAUUUUUAAUGAUAUAAUACUGAUAUGAUAAUACUAUCGAAAGUAAAUGGAUGUGGUGGUUGAAUGGCAAAGCGCUUGGCUUCUGAAACGAGGAGUCUCGUGUUUGAAUCCCAGUGAAGACUGUGAUGUUGGCGAGUUUCGGAAUUUUAAGUUUUAAGAUGCCCUAAUAUUAAUAGUUUGUGAAACUAAAGGCGAUAGGUCGUUGUGCUUGUCACAUGACAUCCUCGUUAACCGUCGGCAAUUGAAACAGAUUAGAUUUACAUCAUCUGCCUUAUAGAUCGCAAGGUUUAAGAUUGGCACUUUACUCUUUACUAUCGAAAGCUAAGCUCUUGGUUGUCUAUUACUGAGCUGUUUAAUUUCAUUGUAAGAAAGAAUCCCGGUCGUUCUAAUCUGGGUUGUGAAUAUUAAAUGAGUAAAACAUAUUACUGGUAUUGACAUCAGGGAAGUGUGAGAAUUUAAAAAAACAGGAACUUCUAAUUUCAGCUAAAGAGAGGAAUGAAAACUAGAUCACACAAAGGAAAUGAAAGUUCCUGCAAGUGUAGUGCCAGCAGAGAAAGAGAAGCACUAUUUUAAAGUCGUCUGCAAGUGUAGUGCCAGGAGAAAGUGAAGCACCAUUUUAAAGUGGUUUAAACCGUGAUCGUAUGUUUCUUAAACAUGUCCACAGAUUCGCCUUUAAACAGCUUUAUAGUUUGAUAAUGAUUGACUUGAUUUUCAAACCAGGUUUCACUAGAAUACAAUAGAAUUUACAUUUGUAUGCGAUAUCCCAUCAGAACAUGAGGAAGUAAAUGUGUGUCGGCGUGUGGGGAAAGGUUGUGCACCUGGAGAGAAAAAUUCCACGUGAGUCCCAUAGACCUUUUUCUGUUUUAGUAGCAUGUGAUGCAGAGUGAGAGAGAAAGAGGAUGUCUACUACAUCUAUACACAUUAAACAUUAUGUAGGUAACUAAAAUGUGAAUAAAGUUUUGCUGAGAAUGAAGACGUGAUGACAGUUCGUGUAACGAUCCUUCUUCUUACUCAUCCACUGUGUCUGUCCAACGCCAUUGUCACUAGGAUAGAAAACUUAAGUGAAUGUUAAUCUAUCCGGAAAGGGUAGAGAACAUCUCGCCUCAAAAAAGUUACAGAUAGGAAUGUAUACUCGUGGCCCCUCACGAUUCCUCGUUGUUAAACACAUAGUGACCAGCGACGAUUGACUAAGGGCUGUAGCCAAUGGCCGGUACUUCAGCGAUCAGACUACAGUUAUAUUUACAUUAUUUGUAUUAGCCACAGAACUACUGACAUUGACGUACAAGGAUGCUACAAUGUAAGCCUGUGGAAUGGAUCAUCAAACAAAUAGAUCCUAAUGACAUCUUUCUUUAUUAACUUUAGUUUCAUCUUUACUUUACACCCAUUUCUCUGCAGACUUUCAAAAUACACAAUUUGUUGUGUGUGUGUGUGUAUGCCGAUAAUCAACUGAACAUCUCAAGUCGUUUGGAGAAAUGAAAGGCCUUACACUUUGGAUUGGUUAACACUGCUGUUAUCAAUGCGAGACACAGACAACAUAUCUACGAGACAUUCCCACCUGUCUCAGGGACAAAUAGAACGCUUAUAAGCAUUUCACUUCAAUAAACGGAGGACGGCAUUUAAGUUGAUCUAACUUUGGGCUCUAAAGACUUCAGAAGUUCACGACAUAGGAACUUAAGAAACACAAUGAGAACAAAAACCUCGUCUCUCCGACUUGUUGUGGAAUUUCCCUUGGACUGAAUCAAGGAAGAAAUAGAUCUAAAAAUAUCUCACCGAGUUCAGUAAGACAAGGGAGAAUACCAGCACCCAGUUCUUUGUGCCAUUAUCAAAGUUUUCCAGAUGCAAACAUCUUUGUCGCCUUUGGUUCAUUCAAUCCUCGAAACGAUGUAUUUGUUACUUUUAUUUAUUAAUAAGUCAUUGUCUUUGACCGGACAGCAUGGAGACAGAUUGUACGUGACGGUACGAACUUCGCCGAAUGCAAAAGAAACGAAGCUGCAUCAGCCAAGAGAAAGAAAAAGAAAGCUGCCAUGUCAGCUAGCUCUAGUACAGAUGCAUAUAACAGCACGAACUGUGGCAGACUCUGCCGCUCCAGAAUUGGCUUGAUCAGUCACUCCAGAUUCUGUCCUAUCUCUAGACGUAACCAACGUCCGUGACUCAUAUUUUCUUUGAUUCUGAAAAGUAAGGAUUAUUUCAGUAUUUCCAUGACCACUCAAACCGUUUCGUGCAAUACACUCGU